UGAGAAGCAACACCGGUGUUGGCCGUUCCGUGUGCAGAGUGUGUGAGUUAGUGAUUUAAUUCCAUCCUUUCCAUCUCAUGAUGUGAUUUUUCCUUUAGGAUGAAUUAGUAACUUUGUGUGGAGGUGGCAGCACUACCUGCUGGUUGGUGUAAUGCCGUGCUUGACAGGGUGAUUUGCAAUUCCGAGUUUGUUUAAUGGCUUAAUGUCUAAGCACUCAUCCCCUUAUUCUGUUGUGUUGUUACCAACUUGGUUUGCAAGGAACAGACCUUCAUCUGUGUACAUCAAGAUUGCUAAUUGCCAGCUGAAGGGUGAUAGUAAAGCAUGAAGAUGCCUAAGCUUAUGAGGAAGCUGCAAACUGCGACCAAAAAUUCUCACUUCAGGGUACUCUCUCUCUCUCUCGAUCUCAAAGAGGAAACGAGGCAGCCACGGCCUCCUUGCCCCCCCCCCCUUCUCUCCCUCUCUCCCGUGCCUCCGCGCUGCUGCAGUACUCCCGCGCUGCACACCGCUGCUGCUCCCCAACCACGGCGCUAUGAUGGUGCUUGCUCGCCUGGUCGCCGCCUCGUCUCGCCCAAUCUUGAUAUAGUCCGGGGCGGCGCCGGCACCGCUCGACCGCGUCGUUGCCU